rnacentral:tRNA from 1 species
ACCAGGGUGGCUCAGUUGGUUAAGCGCCCGACUUUGACUCAGGUCAUGAUCUCACAGUCGUGGGUUCGAGCCCCACAUCCGGCU